CGCCCAAUAGCUAGCCCACCCAUCAACCCCAAACCCACCCUAUCUCUACCCCCAAACACACCACCACACAACAAACAAACCAUUUUUCCACCUAAGUACGGGCGACGAAAAAG
rnacentral:rRNA from 1 species